AUGCCCCCCCCUCUGGGCGCGGCGACCUCGGCGGGCCCGGGUGUGGAAGGCCUGGCGGUGGUCGUCCCUGGUGACGGCGCCGCGGGCGGGCUCGCCGGCCGUCGGGUGCAGGAGGCGGCCGCUGAGAGGGAGAGCGCCGCCGCCGCGCGGCCCCUGCGCGGGGCCUUGACGACGGACGGCUCCCGCGGGGGCCCCACUGAGAGACGCGCGCGGCGGCGGCGAGGCCGCGGGAGGCCGCGGAGGAUGGAGGAGCGGAAGAGGAGGGCGAGCCGAGAUCCAGGAGCACGGCCCGAGCACUGUUCUCCAAGUUGGGAGCGGCAGUGCCUGGCCGAGGCCGAGCAGGACGAAGCAGGCUCCCCCGAGUGCAGGAGGAGGCAGCGGCCGCCGCACAGCCCGAACACAAGCAGCAGAAGCUGUGGCACCUCUUCCAGAACUCGGCCACCGCCGUGGCCCAGCUCUACAAAGACCGAGUGUGUCAGCAGCCAGGACUUUCUCUCUGGGUCCCCUUCCAAAACGCAGCCACCGCCGUCACCAACCUCUACAAAGAAAGCGUGGAUACCCAUCAACGAAGUUUUGAUAUUGGAAUUCAGAUUGGCUAUCAGCGACGCAAUAAGGAUGUGUUGGCUUGGGUUAAAAAACGCAGAAGAACUAUUCGUAGAGAAGAUUUGAUCAGCUUCCUGUGUGGAAAAGUUCCUCCACCACGAAACUCUAGAGCUCCCCCAAGACUGACUGUAGUGUCCCCUAACCGAGCUACUUCAACGGAAACUAGCUCAUCUGUAGAGACUGAUUUGCAACCCUUCCGGGAAGCCAUAGCUCUGCAUGGUAAAGCCGUUUAAACAUAUUUCUUUGGAAAAAUGGUUAAGAGGGUGCCUGUGGACCCAUUUUUCACUUUUAGGUUUAGGUCCAGAUAUGCUGUUUUUUGUCUAUUACAGUAAACAGCUUGCUCUAGAAAUGUUUAAUAAAAUGUAAGCUAAACCUUAUAUGGGCGAUUUCUGUCAGAUAACCCAUCCUAGAAAAUGUUUUUAGAAAGUUAGUUUGAGCUUAUUGGUGUUAAAAUUAUAUAUCUUUCUGCAGUGUUGAUUAGAAUUUAUCGCUUUAAAACAAAACAAAACACCAGAAAAACCCCAAAAAACAAACGAAAAACCCAUGUCAUUCUAGAAUGUGCCACAUGAGUCCAUCCUUCCAAGAAGCAGAAUCUGAAGGUUUUCCACUCCAAGUAUUAGUGGGUGCUUGUUUUUAUAGCACUGAUCAUUUUAGUUCCCUUUUAAACCCGAAGGGUUGCACAGCCACAUUUAGGUCAUCACAAGCAGUAACUCCAGGAGCAGAAUUAAAGUGAUACGCUAAUUAGGUUUCCAGUUGCCACUCACUGAACAUUCAAAAAUGUGCAUGUGUUUAGUGAAAUACCAUUUCUGCUUUCUACAUCUGAUUGAACAAAUUCUGUAUUAAUGGUAAAGCAUGGUAAACUCUGCUGACGCCUACAAGUCAUGAAACCUUACAAUGUCCUGAUUAAGGUC